GAUGAACGCUGGCGGCGUGCUUAACACAUGCAAGUCGAGCGAGUGAGUUCUUCGGAACGAUCUAGCGGCGGACGGGUGAGUAACACGUGGGCAACCUGCCUCAUAGAGGGGAAUAGCCUCCCGAAAGGGAGAUUAAUACCGCAUAAAAUUAUCGAGUGGCAUCACAUGAUAAUCAAAGGAGUAAUCCGCUAUGAGAUGGGCCCGCGGCGCAUUAGCUAGUUGGUGAGGUAACGGCUCACCAAGGCGACGAUGCGUAGCCGACCUGAGAGGGUGAUCGGCCACAUUGGGACUGAGACACGGCCCAGACUCCUACGGGAGGCAGCAGUGGGGAAUAUUGCACAAUGGGGGAAACCCUGAUGCAGCAACGCCGCGUGAGUGAUGAAGGUCUUCGGAUUGUAAAGCUCUGUCUUCAGGGACGAUAAUGACGGUACCUGAGGAGGAAGCCACGGCUAACUACGUGCCAGCAGCCGCCGUAA
rnacentral:rRNA from 1 species